GUGUCUCACUCUCGGUGGUCGCGCACUCGUUGGACAAGGGGAUCUUACCGAUCUACCAACCCCAACCAAACUCCGAAUACCGAUGAGUACAGCAUGGCAGACAGACCGUGGGUGCUAAGGUCCAUGGUCGAAAGGGAAACAGCCCAGACCGCCAGCUAAGGUCCCUAAGUUAUGGCUAAGUGGGAAAGGAAGUGAGAAGACCAAGACAACCAGGAGGUUGGCUUAGAAGCAGCCAUCCUUUAAAGAAAGCGUAACAGCUCACUGGUCUAGAUUUAAGUCGUCUCGCGCCGAAGAUGUACCGGGGCUAAAGCCAUACACCGAAGCUGCGGACACGUGCUUGCACGUGUGGUAGCGGAGCGUUCUGUAAGCCUGCGAAGGUGUGCCGUGAGGCAUGCUGGAGGUAUCAGAAGUGAGAAUGCUGACAUGAGUAGCGACAAGGAGUGUGAGAAACACUCCCGCCGAAAAUCCAAGGGUUCCUGUGCAAGGCUAAUCCGCGCAGGGUGAGUCGGCCCCUAAGGCGAGGGCGAAAGCCGUAGUCGAUGGGAAUCAGGUUAAUAUUCCUGAACCUGUAGGUAGUGACGGAUACUGUAAGUUGUACACUCUUAUUGGAUUGAGUGUGCCGCGAAGGUGUCCCAGGAAAUAACUCCUACAUUAAGACCGUACCCGAAACCGACACAGGUGGAUAGGUAGAGAAUACCAAGGCGCUUGAGAGAACGAUGUUGAAGGAACUCGGCAAAAUGCACCCGUAACUUCGGGAUAAGGGUGACCCCUAUUUAGGCAACUAGAUAGGGGUGGCACAAAAUUGGGGGUGGCGACUGUUUACUAAAAACGUAGGGCUCUGCGAAGUCGCAAGACGACGUAUAGGGUCUGACGCCUGCCCGGUGCUGGAAGGUUAAGGAGAGGGGUGCAAGCUCUGAACCGAAGCCCCAGUAAACGGCGGCCGUAACUAUAACGGUCCUAAGGUAGCGAAAUUCCUUGUCGGGUAAGUUCCGACCUGCACGAAUGGCGUAACGACUUCCCCGCUGUCUCCAACACCGACUCAGCGAAAUUGAACUCUCCGUGAAGAUGCGGAGUACCCGCGGUUAGACGGAAAGACCCCGUGCACCUUUACUACAGCUUUGCAGUGGUAUUAGGGAGUAAAUAUGUAGGAUAGGCGGGAGCCUUUGAAGCGUUGGCGCCAGUUGACGUGGAGGUACCCUUGAAAUACCGCCUUUUUAUUCUCUGAUAUCUAACCACGGCCCAUGAACCUGGGUCUGGGACCCUGCAUGGUGGGUAGUUUGACUGGGGCGGUCGCCUCCUAAAGAGUAACGGAGGCGCGCGAUGGUAGGCUCAAGCUGGUCGGAAAUCAGCUGUUGAGUGCAAUGGCAUAAGCCUGCCUGACUGCGAGACGUACAUGUCGAGCAGAGUCGAAAGACGGUCAUAGUGAUCCGGUGGUUCCGAGUGGAAGGGCCAUCGCUCAACGGAUAAAAGGUACGCCGGGGAUAACAGGCUGAUACCCCCCAAGAGUCCAUAUCGACGGGGGUGUUUGGCACCUCGAUGUCGGCUCAUCACAUCCUGGGGCUGGAGAAGGUCCCAAGGGU
rnacentral:rRNA from 1 species